rnacentral:rRNA from 1 species
CCUACGGGGGGCUGCAGUGGGGAAUAUUGGACAAUGGGGGGAACCCUGAUCCAGCCAUGCCGCGUGUGUGAAGAAGGCCCUCGGGUUGUAAAGCACUUUCAGUGAGGAAGAACGCCUGGUGGUUAAUACCCAUCAGGAAAGACAUCACUCACAGAAGAAGCACCGGCUAACUCCGUGCCAGCAGCCGCGGUAAUACGGAGGGUGCGAGCGUUAAUCGGAAUUACUGGGCGUAAAGCGCGCGUAGGUGGCUUGAUAAGCCGGUUGUGAAAGCCCCGGGCUCAACCUGGGAACGGCAUCCGGAACUGUCAAGCUAGAGUGCAGGAGAGGAAGGGAGAAUUCCCGGUGUAGCGGUGAAAUGCGUAGAGAUCGGGAGGAAUACCAGUGGCGAAGGCGGCCUUCUGGACUGACACUGACACUGAGGUGCGAAAGCGUGGGUAGCAAACAGGAUUAGUACCCCGUAGUC